AUUGAACGCUGGCGGCGUGCUUAACACAUGCAAGUCGAACGAAGUGGCGAACGGGUGAGUAACGCGUAAUCAACCUGCCCUUCAGAGGGGGACAACAGUUGGAAACGACUGCUAAUACCGCAUACUGAAGUAGGUGAUUGCGUCUGAUUAGCUAGUUGGAGGGGUAACGGCCCACCAAGGCGAUGAGCAGGAGCUGGUCUGAGAGGAUGAACGGCCACAUUGUGACUGUUACACGGCCCAGACUCCUACGGGUGGCAGCAGUGGGGAAUCUUCCGAAAUGGACGAAAGUCUGACGGAGCAACGCCGCGUGAGUGAUGACGGCCUUCGGGUUGUAAAGCUCUGUUAAUCGGGACGCGGUACCGGAAUAGAAAGCCACGGCUAACUACGUGCCAGCAGCCGCUGUAAUUC
rnacentral:rRNA from 1 species